AGUAACAAAAUAAACAAAAAUGAGAUUUUUGCAUAUUUUAAUACCUUAUAACCUGCUUUAUGCUGUGUAGCGAAAUCACAACUCAAUAGUAGCUAAGAACUUUUGAAAUUUAAUAAAUCAAACUGACCGAAGUAACAAAAUGAGCACUUUUCAGAUGUGUCGUUUUGUCGGUACAAUGACUAAUGUAACGCACGUAACUCACAACUGACGUAAGUGCGCUGUCAAAACGACUUAAGUAACAAAAUCAGGUAAACAUAACACAAAAGUGUUUACGUCGACAUUAAUAUAACGGGACAUCAUCGCCGAAACAUAAUACCGGAGGAAGCAUUCAGCUUAGAGAGUGGUAUCAAGAUAUUUCCAGCUUGAAAAGCGGACUUCCUGCAAUAACUCGGAUCGUGAUUCAAAGUAUUCCUUCGGUGCAAGUUAAACCUAAAGAAUUGGUUCGUCCAAGAGUUCGCCGUCUUUUAGUUAUCGUUUUGGCACUGGUAAAUACAGAGGGCGAGAUCUGGAUAUCACUAGUUAUCUAGCUCGUCCAGUCCAGAGAUAAAUAUCACCUGCCGUCAGUUUGUAAGUGGAGCAGCGGUAUUUCUGAAACCUCCUCGGCUGCAGCACCAUUCGCCGCCGGAAUUCAAAUACUACAGCAAGCACUAAAGCACUGAUUGACUCCCACAACUCUGCUGUAUAAUAAUCUGGACAGUGUUUCCUCGGUGCAGUAAGACCACCCGAAGCGGUGAUUCCAUCGGUUCGUCAUCAACAGCUGCAACGGCGGCCCUGGUAAUUCAUUUUCCUCAGUAUUUUCAACGUCGUUGUACAUUGUACACAGAACUAGGAAUGCAUAAGUUAUCCCAGGACGGACGAAAGUAAGCUGAUAGAACAAAUAGCGUGUCAAAAGUUGAAGUAGCAAUGAAGGAAAACCUAUGGACCAGUCAGCGAAAUCGAUUGUUCCUGUUGAACCCGCUACUGCAGCACGAAGAAACCUAUCUGACCUCGACGAGUUGCCCAGCAAAUGGUGCUACAGCAGCAAGUGAUUCUGCAUCAGCAGCGAAAACACGGCGCAGAUUUUAGCCGAUCUGUAGCAGACCUAAUGACAGCAGUUCCACCAGCAGCAUCAGCUCGUAUCACACCACCAGCAGCAGUAAUACCAGGAAGGCCAUCUGACCAAGUCCAGCGGCAUUUGCAAACCCGGGCUCAAUCAAUAUUACAGGUAGUCCCGAGGGGGAUAACCCGUAAAAGAUGUCAACUGUAAUAGCGGCUCUGGCAUCGCAUUUUUCUCCCCUGGUCUCCUCGUCGCUGUACACAGAGCUACGGAUGCAUGGUCAAACCGGGUCAAGUCGGGUGUAAACUGGUUAUACAGGACAAAACUAUGUUGAAGCAGCAGCAGCUAUUUCUCGUCGUCAUCACCAAAUUAUAGGGUAGGACAGAGCAAGAUGAGCUACCCUUAGUUUUAAUACUAAUGCGAUUAGUUUUGGCAAAACCAACGUUAGCAACCUAAUUAGUAUUCCUGAUAAAAGUUAGUCAUGGGUGCGCUUCUAGUACUACAAAUAAUUCUUAGGGUUCUCAUCUGGCUCUGCUCUAUCCUAAUCCAGAUAGGUAAUUUUCCAUUAAAGUUAUAAAUAAAGAAAAAAAUAACUUCAGAUGCUUUUUAUUAAUACUUGCCUAUUCACGUUCCAAUUUAUAGAAAGUGCUCAUUUAAAAAGUAGACAUGCUCUCAACACAGGUUGAGCGCAGCACAUGUCCUCUCAGGUUGCAAGGUGACGCAUUACAUGCCGAUUUAAUUGAAGCCACAUUCCUAUUUUCCACAUUUUCUUAAAUAUUCAGACAAGACUCAAUGAGAACAUAU